rnacentral:rRNA from 1 species
AUGGCUAGCGGCAGUGGCUGGGCCAGCCUCUCCUCCUUCCUCCCCUGGUCAAGAUCCAUGGUUCAUCCAUGGGGUUGUUCUGGCAUCGGCCAGGACGCCAGGUUGCGGUGCGGCACCGAUGCCAUGUUGUUCGGGGCGAUACAUGGUGUGGUUCAUAUCGCGCAUGCAGUUUGGAGCAUGGGAACAUGCAAUGCAAAAAUGUUGCGUUUUGUGUAUAAAAAAUACGAACUCAUUUGA